GAUGAACGCUGGCGGCGUGCCUAAUACAUGCAAGUCGAGCGAACAGACGAGGAGCUUGCUCCUCUGACGUUAGCGGCGGACGGGUGAGUAACACGUGGAUAACCUACCUAUAAGACUGGGAUAACUUCGGGAAACCGGAGCUAAUACCGGAUAAUAUAUUGAACCGCAUGGUUCAAUAGUGAAAGGCGGUUUUGCUGUCACUUAUAGAUGGAUCCGCGCCGCAUUAGCUAGUUGGUAAGGUAACGGCUUACCAAGGCAACGAUGCGUAGCCGACCUGAGAGGGUGAUCGGCCACACUGGAACUGAGACACGGUCCAGACUCCUACGGGAGGCAGCAGUAGGGAAUCUUCCGCAAUGGGCGAAAGCCUGACGGAGCAACGCCGCGUAAGUGAUGAAGGUCUUCGGAUCGUAAAACUCUGUUAUUAGGGAAGAACAAAUGUGUAAGUAACUAUGCACGUCUUGACGGUACCUAAUCAGAAAGCCACGGCUAACUACGUG
rnacentral:rRNA from 1 species